GCCGCCUUAGCUCAGCGGUAGAGCAACGGUUUUGUAAACCGUAGGUCCAGGGUCCGAAUCCCUGAGGCGGCUCAA
rnacentral:tRNA from 1 species